rnacentral:rRNA from 1 species
CGUGAGUGAUGAAGGCUUUCGGGUCGUAAAGCUCUGUCAAGUGGGAAGAAAAUGCUUGAUGCUAAUACCAUCUUGCACUGACGGUACCACUGAAGGAAGCACCGGCUAACUCCGUGCCAGCAGCCGCGGUAAUACGGGGGGUGCAAGCGUUAUUCGGAUUUAUUGGGCGUAAAGGGCGCGUAGGCGGUCUUUUAAGUCAGAUGUGAAAGCCCGGGGCUUAACCCCGGAAGUGCAUUUGAAACUAAGGGACUUGAGUAUGGGAGAGGGAAGUGGAAUUCCUGGUGUAGAGGUGAAAUUCGUAGAUAUCAGGAGGAACACCGGUGGCGAAGGCGACUUCCUGGACCAAUACUGACGCUAAGGCGCGAAGGCGUGGGGAGCAAACAGGAUUAGAUACCCUGGUAGUCCACGCAGUAAACGGUGAACACUAGGUGUAGCGGGUAUUGACCCCUGCUGUGCCGUAGCUAACGCAUUAA